AUAUUACUCUCUCCGAUGCAUAUUAAUUGUCGAAAUAUUACAUGUAUCUAGAUGUAUUUUAUGCACAGAUACAUCCAUAUUUAGACAAAUUUGAGACAAUUAAUAUGAAUCGGAGAAAGUAUCUA
rfam:Brachypodium distachyon strain Bd21 chromosome 3, whole genome shotgun sequence.